rnacentral:rRNA from 1 species
AUGAACGCUGGCGGCGUGCUUAACACAUGCAAGUCGAGCGAGAAGUUUUGAAACGAUUCUUCGGAUGAAAUUUAAAAUGGAAAGCGGCGGACGGGUGAGUAACGCGUAGGCAACCUGCCCCAUACAAAGGGAUAGCAUUUGGAAACGAAUAUUAAUACCUUAUGAAACUUAACUAGUGCAUGCUAGGUAGGUCAAAGAUUUAUCGGUAUGGGAUGGGCCUGCGUCUGAUUAGCUAGUUGGUGAGGUAACGGCUCACCAAGGCGACGAUCAGUAGCCGACCUGAGAGGGUGAACGGCCACAUUGGAACUGAGACACGGUCCAAACUCCUACGGGAGGCAGCAGUGGGGAAGAUUGCACAAUGGGGGAAACCCUGAUGCAGCAACGCCGCGUGAACGAUGAAGGCCUUUGGGUCGUAAAGUUCUGUUCUAGGUGAUGAAAACUGACAGUAACCUAGGAGAAAGCCCCGGCUAACUCCGUG